GGAGAGGUGUCCGAGUGGUUGAAGGAGCACGCCUGGAAAGUGUGUAUACGGCUUAUACCCGUAUCGCGGGUUCGAAUCCCGCCCUCUCCGCCA
rnacentral:tRNA from 3 species